AUUGAACGCUGGCAGCAGGCCUAACACAUGCAAGUCGAACGAGUGGCGGACGGGUGAGUAAUGUCUGGGAAACUGCCCGAUGGAGGGGGAUAACUACUGGAAACGGUAGCUAAUACCGCAUACCAUCGGAUGUGCCCAGAUGGGAGUAGCUAGUAGGUGGGGUAACGGCUCACCUAGGCGACGAUCCCUAGCCUGUCUGAGAGGAUGACCAGACACACUGGAACUGAGACACGGUCCAGACUCCGACGGGAGGCAUCAGUGGGGAAUAUUGCACAUGGGGCGCAACCCUGAUGCAGCCAUGCCGCGUGUAGGAAGAUGGCCUUCGGGUUGUAAAGUACUUUCAGCGAGGAGGCGUUACUCGCAGAAGAAGCACCGGCUAACUCCGUGCCAGCCGCCGCGGUAAUAC
rnacentral:rRNA from 1 species